ACUUAAAUAGCUUAUUUAGAGCAUAAUAUUGAAGAUAUUAAGGAAAUUUUUAAUUUUUAGGUA
rnacentral:tRNA from 1 species